UAGCGUUCUUCCUUGUUUUUAUUUCUAAAGCCUAGUACUCACGUCGACGAAAAUCGCGCGCUAGCCAUAGGAGUGAGCGAGUCUGUUUUUAAGCGCGGUACUCAGAUGAGCUAGGAAAAUUCCAGAAAAAAUACCAGAUUAAGCGAGUGAAUUUCGAUGAACGCCGUUAGACGCGGCCCAAAGAAAUAGAAAUUUAAUCUUUGGCGGUGCUCGUGCAAAGGCGAUGUGAAAACUAAAAAUUAAAAAUGGAAGGAAAACCCCAAAAUCGGCAGAUGAAAUAGGACGCCUAAUCCAAGCUGUUGCCCUUUAUUGUGGGAUUUCACCAACAGGAAGCUAUACCACAACUAGAGAAUCCCAGUGGGAAGGAACAUGCCGAGUGGGACUUCGCUCUCUACAUGGACAUCCUGCCGGGCGUGUCCUCGCAAAGAAACAGAACCACCAGUAAUAUGAUCUCCGACGACCUCUCCAUUAGGACUCCGUACACCACCACCACCAGCUACUUGGCAGCUGAAGCGGAGCUGAAGGACCCGCUGGCUUUUAUAGGGAGGAGGAAAAUAGGGCGCCCGCUAAGAAACAGUUGGAUAAGCCAUAGCCAGCCACUGCCAGGAUGCUGGGCGACUUCCUGCAGCAUCAGCGGAUCAACCCCGUUCCCAAUCCACCACUUUUUUUACACCUAUGCACAGAACUCAUUACGCUCUAAAUGAGCCAUUUCCAGGGUCUUGCAUAUAUUUACAGUUUGCCAUAUAGAAUGCGUUUGGACGCAAGUUCGUCUAGGGAUAGUAAUAAAAAGGCCAUGUCCAUGUAUCUCUUUAGAUUUAGUAAUAAGUUAAGACCUAUUUAAGUAGCCAGUUAAUGAUUUGAAGUCUGUUGGCGAAAAAAAUAAAUAAAUAAUUGUGUCUUAUUAA